rnacentral:lncRNA from 1 species
UUGGUUGCCUCAUCCUUAAGGUUGGUCUUGUUAAUUGUUAUUGUUGUUGAGUUGGAGUUUGAGUAUUCCUCUAACUCAUAAAUUCUUCUCUUUUUAUUUUGUAAACUUAUGUUUUCAACUCUGGUGUCUUCUUUUUCUUUUUCUUCAUUCAACCUUAUUUUUUGUAAUUUCUCUAUCAUGUCAUUAGGUAUGGGAUUGUGUUGACCGAUGCUGGGUUUUAGAAUAUGGUUACUGUUGAAUCUUU